GCUUAGAGAACCAGAAGUGGGAUCCACAUACCACAAGCUGGAGGGUUGAGCUUGUGGCACCUAGGCUCGCUUCACUGAGGUUUGUGGAGGUGAGGGAGAUUGCAGCUUGGCCAACAUGGUAGAAAGGUGGCAGGGUAGACUCUAGAUUCUAGAGGGCAACCUCCUUCUGCUCAUAUUGGAGCGUGGCAGGCACGCAGUGUUUCCCAGGGAAUCCUGAGCACGGCAUGUCUGGCUUUGACCACCCAGAUGCUUCGAGUCAGAAGAUGGAGGAGUCACCUGUUGCAUGCUGGAGGCAGGAGCUUGCAGACGGUGUGGUUCUGUGGCUUGCCUCGCUGCAAUUGGUGGCGGAGACAGAGACUGCAGCUCGACUGCAAUGAGUAUUGUCAUCUGCAUGAGCAAAUCUGGUUCAUCGCAUCUUUGCAAAGGAAAAGGACGGGGAGAAUCAUGUGUACAAUGUUUUAAGGCCAAGAUUCACAACCAAAACAAAGUAUUAACUUUUGCCUUUAAGAAACUGCAGUGUUGAACCCUGUUUUAUUUAUGGCUGGAAUGCAGUGGCAUGAUCUUGACUUGCUGCAACCUCCACCUCCCAGGUUCAAGCCAUUCUCCUCCCUCAGUCUCCUGAGUAGCUGGAUUACAG